UACGUAGGGUGCAGGCGUUAAUCGGAAUUACUGGGCGUAAAGCGUGCGCAGGCGGUUUGCUAAGACAGGUGUGAAAUCCCCGGGCUUAACCUGGGAACUGCGCUUGUUACUGGCAAGCUUGAGUAUGGCAGAGGGGGGUGGAAUUCCACGUGUAGCAGUGAAAUGCGUAGAGAUGUGGAGGAACACCGAUGGCGAAGGCAGCCCCCUGGGCUAACACUGACGCUCAUGCACGAAAGCGUGGGGAGCAAACAGG
rnacentral:rRNA from 1 species